GACGAACGCUGGCGGCGUGCUUAACACAUGCAAGUCGAACGGUAAGGCCCUUCGGGGUACACGAGUGGCGAACGGGUGAGUAACACGUGGGUGAUCUGCCCUGCACUUCGGGAUAAGCCUGGGAAACUGGGUCUAAUACCGGAUAGGACCACUGCCUGCAUGGGUGGUGGUGGAAAGCUUUUGCGGUGUGGGAUGGGCCCGCGGCCUAUCAGCUUGUUGGUGGGGUGAUGGCCUACCAAGGCGACGACGGGUAGCCGGCCUGAGAGGGUGACCGGCCACACUGGGAGUGAGAUACGGCCCAGACUCCUACGGGAGGCAGCAGUGGGGAAUUUUGGACAAUGGGCGAAAGCCUGAUCCAGCGACGCCGCGUGAAUGAUGAAGGCCUUCGGGUUGUAAAGUUCUUUUGGCAGGGAAGAUAGUGACGGUACCUGCAGAAUAAGCUCCGGCAAACUCUGUGCCAGCCGCCGCGGUAA
rnacentral:rRNA from 1 species